UACGGAGGGGGCUAGCGUUGUUCGGAAUACUGGGCGUAAAGCGCGCGUAGGCGGACCUGCAAGUCGGGGGGUGAAAGCCCGAGGCUCAACCUCGGAACUGCCUUCGAUACUGCGGGUCUCGAGUCCGGGAGAGGUGAGUGGAAUUCCUAGUGUAGAGGUGAAAUUCGUAGAUAUUAGGAAGAACACCAGUGGCGAAGGCGGCUCACUGGCCCGGUACUGACGCUGAGGCGCGAAAGCGUGGGGAGCAAACAGG
rnacentral:rRNA from 1 species